CCUUAGUAUUGUAAUUAUUUUAAUAAUUAUAGUGCACUAUUGAAAUAAAAACACAUUUCCUCUUUCUCUGCCACUUUUUUGGUGUAAUGGGACAUUCAGAGCUUGAAAGAAACCACCACAUAAGUAGUCAUUUCAUCUGUAUCUGUUAAAUGAAUUGCUUUUCCCAGACAUCUAAUUUAUCCAGAGAACAUCUCCUUGGUCAGUAUUACAAAUUGUUUUUAUUUUCUUACACUUGCUUAUUAAUAAUUUUCCAUGUCAUGUCUGUCAUCAGAGAAGGAAGGUCACAUUCAAUAUUUCUCCAUUUCUCUUUUCUUUUUUCCCACUCAUACUCUAGAUUGAAAACUUAGCUAAGUAAAAACAAUUGGUUCAAAUCUUAUUUGAAUUAUGGACACAUUAUUCUCAGUAAAAUAAAUCUUGAGUUUAAAUCCCAUUAUCUUGUGUAAAUUUUUUUAAUUCAAUCUUGGCAAAACAUGCAUAUUUUAAAGAUAUGACCUAUAAUUUUUUCUCUUGACUUUUGUGUUUGGCAGGAGUUCACAGACUUUGCUAACAAUUUUAACAGAUAUGCUUUAAUUUAAUAACUACAAUUUGGUAAUUAGCUGGAGUCGCAUUUCAAAAUGCAAUUGAUAUGAUUUGGCUGGAUUUAUCUGUAUUCUAGAAAAUACAGGACAGUCGUAUAGAUACUGGUGUUGUUACUCUGUUCAUAUUCACACUUUUACCUUGCAUCAUUCCUGAGACACAGAAUUUUUGAUAUUCUGCCACAAUCUAUUCCCAAAACAUCACUGAUGACAAAACGAUAAUAAUCUUUGGAAACAUUUCCUCUCAAGUUCCAAAGUUUUCAGUCAGUAGAAAAAAAAGAAAGAAGACAAAAUUUUAAAGGUGCUGAGAAAAGCCCAGGGCUCACAGCUGGUUUCAGCAACUUCAACUUGCGUAAGACCCCGUGUUUGUGAAAACAACCCAAGAAUCUUUGAACAGGAUGUAAUCAACCUCCGAACUGCUGAGAAAUAUUGCAAAAAUGACUUCAGCUGCCAAAAAUAAUGUCGUUUACAAGCAGCUCUUCCUAUGUCUAAGGAAGAACUAGUCACACAUGCGAGUUUUUGCUGGCUUGAGAACAAGCAAGGAAAAAGACAAAUCCCACCUACCCUAGCCUAAAAUACACAGUGAGUCUCAGAACCCCGCGGAAGCUGUGGCUCAUUUCUAAAGGUGCUGGCAAUAUCGAGGAAGACUUGUAUCCACAAAAUUCCAAAUGAGAGUAAACUUGAAGCCUGAAAUUGCAGCACUCAUUUGGUGACCAGGAGUGGGCAAACAGAAGGACAAAGGCCUACAAGAUUAAAUAAUCAAGUCAUUAUUGUGAAUUUGGAUCUAAAUGACCUGGCAGAAACCAUGGAGAUGAUCUUGGAUUUAAAGAGGAAAAACUCAAAGCAAUGUAUUCUGAUCAAGAAAUGGCAGGAAAUGGCAGCUACCUGAUAUGGAACAAUCAACAACUGAAGGUUUAUUUUGAAUGAGAGGUGUUGUCCAACUGCGAGACGGAGUGAUUGAAGCUGAGAAUAAAUGGAAACACAAUCAAUAGUCACUCCAGUGAGGUAGGAAAGAAAGCCAUUCCGAAGUGGCAGAGAAGCUGCUUUUUCCUCCUGCAUGCUGCCUGCUAGUGUGGAUCUUGGCAUAACAGACACUACUUGGCAAAAGAUCCAUCCUUCCUUUUCCUAUACUUUGCUCAGCGGCCUGGAAGAUUGACCUCAAAAGCAAAAUCACCUGGAUUUCCUUGCCAUUUGGCUUUCAAAUGUGCUCAGCCAAUGACAGGCUGGAAAGAAAUUGACAGCUGGGAAAAGAGGAAGAUUUGUGUACAAGAUCCCUUCCACUCCCAUCUCAUUACCUGCCAUGGUCCUAGCAGUGGCUGUUCUUAUUAUGGC
rnacentral:lncRNA from 1 species